rnacentral:rRNA from 1 species
GACGAACGCUGGCGGCGUGCUUAACACAUGCAAGUCGAACGGAAAGGCCCUGCUUUUGUGGGGUGCUCGAGUGGCGAACGGGUGAGUAACACGUGAGUAACCUGCCCUUGACUUUGGGAUAACUUCAGGAAACUGGUGCUAAUACCGGAUAGGAGCUCCUGCUGCAUGGUGGGGGUUGGAAAGUUUCGGCGGUUGGGGAUGUACUCGCGGCUUAUCAGCUUGUUGGUUGGGUAGUGGCUUACCAAGGCUUUGACGGGUAGCCGGCCUGAGAGGGUGACCGGCCACAUUGGGACUGCGAUACGGCCCAGACUCCUACGGGAGGCAGCAGUGGGGAAUAUUGCACAAUGGGCGGAAGCCUGAUGCAGCAACGCCGCGUGCGGGAUGACGGCCUUCGGGUUGUAAACCGCUUUCGCCUGUGACGAAGCGUGAGUGACGGUAAUGGGUAAAGAAGCACCGGCUAACUACGUG